CCUACGUGAGGCAGCAGUGAGGAAUAUUGGUCAAUGGCCGGAAGGCUGAACCAGCCAAGCCGCGUGAAGGACGAAGGUUCCAAGCAUUUUAAACUUCUUUUUGCAAGGGACAAAAUCAGGCUCGAGAGCCUGACCGAGGGUACUUGAAGAAAAAGCAUCGGCUAACUCCGUGCCAGCAGCCGCGGUAAUACUGAGGAUGCGAGCGUUAUCGGGAUUAAUUGGGUUUAAAGGGUGCGUAGGGGGGCUGUUAAGUCAGCGGUAAAAGCCCGGGGCUAAACCCCGGCGAGCCGUUGAAACUGGCUGUCUUGAGAUGUCGAGAGGCAUGCGGAAUGCGCAGUGUAGCGGUGAAAUGCUUAGAUAUUGCGCAGAACUCCGAUUGCGAAGGCAGCAUACCGGCGGCGAUCUGACGCUGAGGCACGAAAGCGUGGGUAGCGAACAGGAUUAGAUACCCUGGUAGUC
rnacentral:rRNA from 1 species